AAUACGGUAUAUACUACAAAAGCCGUUGGUAUAUUUUAGCGGACAACGAACGGUCACAUUACCGCUUUCCGCGUAAAUAAAAGAGACCAUGACGACUGCCUUUGAUGCUGCACACACGGAGGGACCCGGAUUCGUGGGCAUUCGGUUCUGCCAGGAGUGCAACAACAUGUUGUACCCAAAGGAGGACAAGGAGAACAAGAUCCUGCUCUACGCCUGCCGGAACUGCGACUACAAACAGGAAGCGGACUCCAACUGCAUCUACGUGAACAAGAUCAUGCACGAAAUCGACGAGCUGACGCACAUUGUGCCGGACGUGAUUUCCGACCCCACGCUGCCGCGCACCGAGGACCACGCCUGUCCCAAGUGCUCCCACCGAGAGGCGGUCUUCUUCCAGGCGCAAACACGUCGCGCCGAAGAGGAAAUGCGACUGUACUACGUGUGCACCAACCAGAACUGCACCCACCGAUGGACGGAGUAGAAGCAGAUGUGCUAUACGCCUCUAAUUGUAACCCUAAGUAAUCAAACCAAUAUGAAGACACUUUGCAAUCACAAAUUAAAUAUUGCUCAACACCCGAUUGCCGCUCAAUGAAAUUACAACAGCACAGAAAGAAAAAUUGUGAGGUAUAUAAUAUGAUCACUAGUUAACUACUGAAUAUGAUUUUUGAAAACUUUGGGUUUCAACCUUUUAAUUUAAUAUUUUAAAAAAUGGCCAAGUAAUCCCACGGAAUUUAUCGGUAUGGCGGUAUCGAAAGCCCAAUAGAAGGAAGGAAACAAUUCUAGCCAGUAUACCAUCUCGAUUUAGCAUUAUGCACAAACCGAAAUGAUAUACAAAAUGUUAUUAUUAAUUCUGUAUUCAAAACAUGUAUACAUUCUAUAGAAAAUGUUAUCAUUAAUUCUGGUUUUAUAUUUUUUUUUCUGUGUCCAAUAGCAAUUACAGAAAAAUCAAGUCACAGUAAAUAUUGCUUUGGGGUAACGCAAACCAGUAGUACAGUUAAUAUUUAAAAAAAUGCAAUCUAUUUUGGUUGCGGACUAAUAUAUGUUUGGAAUAAUAAA